rnacentral:rRNA from 1 species
AUUGAACGCUGGCGGCAGGCUUAACACAUGCAAGUCGAGCGAGCGGCGGACGGGUGAGUGAUGUCUGGGAAACUGCCUGAUGGAGGGGGAUAACUAAUGGAAAAGGUAGCUAAUACCGCAUACCAUCAGAUGUGCCAAGAUGGGGUUAGCUAGUAGGUGGGGUAAUGGCGCACCUAGGCGACGAUCCCUAGCGGGGCUGAGAGGAUGACCAGCCACACUGGAAAUUAGACACGGUCCAGACUCCUACGGGAGGCAGCAGUGGGGAAUAUGGUACAGUGGGCGCAAGCCUGAUGCAGCCAUGCCGCGGUUGUGAAGAAGGCCUUCGGGUUGUAAAGCACUUUCAGCGAGGAGGCGUUACUCGCAGAGGAAGCACCGGCUAACUCCGUGCCAGCAGCCGCGGUAAUAC